UCUAGUAUGGCAGAAAAGUGCAAUGGAUUUAAGCCCCAUAAAUAAAGUAUUAAACUUUUAUUAGAA
rnacentral:tRNA from 1 species